rnacentral:ncRNA from 14 species
CGUGGCCGAGUGGUUAAGGCGAUGGACUUGAAAUCCAUUGGGAUUAUCCCGCGUAGGUUCGAACCCUGCCGGU